rnacentral:misc_RNA from 1 species
GAUGAAGAACGCAGCGAAAUGCGAUAAGUAAUGUGAAUUGCAGAAUUCAGUGAAUCAUCGAAUCUUUGAACGCACAUUGCGCCCGCCAGUAUUCUGGCGGGCAUGCCUGUUCGAGCGUCAUUUCAACCAUCAAGCCCUGCUUGCGUUGGGGUCCUGCGGCUGCCCGCAGGCCCCGAAAACCAGUGGCGGGCUCGCUAGUCACACCGAGCGCAGUAAUACAUCUCGCUUUGGGCGUGCGGCGGGUUCUUGCCGUUAAACACCCCCUUUUUACCAAGGUUGACCUCGGAUCAGGUAGGAAUACCCGCUGAACUUAAGCAUAUCAAUAAGCGGAGGA